UGACUCUCGGCAACGGAUAUCUCGGCUCUCGCAUCGAUGAAGAACGUAGCGAAAUGCGAUACUUGGUGUGAAUUGCAGAAUCCCGUGAACCAUCGAGUCUUUGAACGCAAGUUGCGCCCCAAGCCUUUAGGCCGAGGGCACGCCUGCCUGGGUGUCACACGUUG
rnacentral:rRNA from 4 species